rnacentral:rRNA from 1 species
AUUCAUUUAUAUUAUUUUCAUGUUGUGAUCUCUGACCUCCAGAUUGGGACAGAGGAAAGCANUAUGAUUUUUUGUGAUGCAUUUGCUUGUUUGGUGCAUGGGGAUAUUUGAGGCAGAUUUGUGACCAUUGUUUUGAGGCUAGCUUGCUAGUACCCAAAUGGUGUGAGUGUUUUUUGCCUUGGAUAAUUGAGUAUGGCUUAUGAGGAUUUAUUGGGUCGUGCUGAGAGUAAGUUACGGUCGCAUGCGACACGUGYUUUUCAAUCAGUUCGGUUUAGUUUAAUGCUCUCAUACUCUUUUCCCAUGUAAAAGCCGGUCAUCUAUCCGACCCGUCUUGAAACACGGACCAAGGAGUUUAUCGUGUGCGCAAGUUUUUGGGUGUUGAAAAUCUAAAAGCGAAAUGAAAGUAAAUGACUCUUUAGAGUCUGAUGUGCGAUCUUUUGUUUUUAAAGAAAGUGCAGCAUGGCCCCAUUCUAACUGUUUACAGUAGGGUGGCGGAAGAGCGUACGCGGUGAGACCCGAAAGAUGGUGAACUAUUCCUGAGCAGGAUGAAGCCAGAGGAAACUCUGGUGGAAGUCCGAAGCGGUUCUGACGUGCAAAUCGAUCGUCUGACUUGGGUAU